rfam:Taphrina deformans PYCC 5710 genomic scaffold, scaffold00323
GCCCGGAUAGCUUAACGGUAAAGCACAGCCCUGAAGAUGCUGUGAUAGAGGUUCAAUUCCUUUUCUGGGCG